CAAUACGUUUGUAUAGCGGCGAACGGGUGAGGAAUACAUGGGUAACCUACCCUUGAGUGGGGAAUAACUAGCCGAAAGGUUAGCUAAUACCGCGUACGCUCCUUGGACUUCGGUUCAGGGAGGAAAGCGCUACCGUGGGUAGCGCGCUCUUGGAUGGGCUCAUGUCCUAUCAGCUUGUUGGUGAGGUAACGGCUCACCAAGGCUUCGACGGGUAGCUGGUCUGAGAGGACGAUCAGCCACACUGGCACUGCGACACGGGCCAGACUCCUACGGGAGGCAGCAGUAAGGAAUAUUGCGCAAUGGGCGAAAGCCUGACGCAGCGACGCCGCGUGGGGGAUGAAGGUCUUCGGAUUGUAAACCCCUUUCGGGAGGGAAGAUGGAAUGGGGUAACCCAUUCGGACGGUACCUCCAGAAGCAGCCACGGCUAACUUCGUGCCAGCAGCCGCGGUAAUACGAAGGUGGCAAGCGUUAUUCGGAUUUACUGGGCGUACAGGGAGCGUAGGCGGUUCGGUAAGCCCUCUGUGAAAUCUUCAGGCUUAACCUGGAAAAGUCGGAGGGGACUGCUGGGCUAGAGGACGGGAGAGGAGCGCGGAAUUCCCGGUGUAGCGGUGAAAUGCGUAGAGAUCGGGAGGAAGGCCGGUGGCGAAGGCGGCGCUCUGGAACGUUACUGACGCUGAGGCUCGAAAGCGUGGGGAGCAAACAGGAUUAGAUACCC
rnacentral:rRNA from 1 species